rnacentral:rRNA from 1 species
AGUCAUAUGCUUGUCUCAAAGAUUAAGCCAUGCAUGUCUCAGUAUAAACUUCUAUAUGGUGAAACUGCGAAUGGCUCAUUAAAACAGUUAUAAUUUAUUUGAUGGUCGCUUACUACAUGAAUAACUGUGGUAAUUCUAGAGCUAAUACAUGCGCCCAAACCCGACUCCGUGGAAGGGUUGUGUUUAUUAGUUACAGAACCAACCCAGGCUCUGCCUGGUCUUGUGGUGAUUCAUAAUAACCGAAUGAAUCGCAUUGCAUCAGCUGGCGAUGAAUCAUUCAAGUUUCUGACCUAUCAGCUUUCGACGGUAGGGUAUGGGCCUACCGUGGCAAUGACGCGUA